rnacentral:tRNA from 1 species
GAGGGCAUAACUCAGUGGUAGAGUAUGUGCUUAGCAUGCAUGAGGUCCUGGGUUUAACCCCCAGUGCCUCCA